GAUACAUAGACACACAGAAUGACACACAGAUACACAGAAUGUUAUCACAAAUACAAACACGGACACACAUACAGAUACACAUACAGACACACAGAUAGAUAUACAGACACACAGAUACACAGAUAUAUACACAGACACACACAAACAGACCACACAUAGACACACCUAUGCACACACUAAAUCUAAUGCAGACACACAGAAUGACACACAGAUACAAACACAGACACACAUACUGAUACACAUAUAGACACACAGAUAGAUACACAGACACACAGAUAUAUUCACAGACACACAGAGACACACAAACAAACACACAGACAGAUACACAGACACACACAUACAGAUAGACACAAAUAUAGAUACACAGACACACAGAUACACACAUACAGACACACAA